UCGUCAUUGCUGUGGAAUGUGAGAGGCGACAGCAGAAUGCUUCCCUUACGGUGACCGGAUCGAGGUCGGGUGCACAAAUGCUAUGUUCCGGCAAGACUAUGUAAAUAUUGUGAAGUACUGCAAUAAAGAUAAAAGCUGCUGGUUUCAGAUGACAGUCGGGAAAUCUGAUUUUAUUUCUGUGCAACUGAGCAGAUAGCCAGAUCGCCGGCGAAGGAGGUAAAUUGAGACAGAAGCUGCUGCAGUUCCUCCACCUAUGCAGACGACAGAACUUUACCUAGUUGAUUGAUAUUAUUAAUUGUUGUAAACUCUUGUUUUAUUGUAUUACUGUUUUAUCAUUUGUAUAUUGUGAAUUGUAUUAGUGCUAUGGUUUUUUGCUCAAUUGUAUUGUUCGGGCCUUGCCCCAUGUGAGCCACCCCGAGUCCCCAUGGGGAGAUGGUGGCAAGGUAUAAAUAAAGUUUUAUAAUUAUUACUUAUUAUUAUUAUUUAUUCAAUGCCUUAAAAACAUGUACAAUACAGAAAUUAAAAUUAAAUUAGAUUAAAAUCAGACAUAUUAAACAAUUAAAACAUUACAUUACAUAAGGAAUCAUGCCAUCCAUAGUCAUAGUCCAGGUCUUUCCAUAGUCAUUCCAUAUUUUCCAUAUCUGUCACUGCACUGCCCUAUUCACUAAAAGCCUGAUCCCACAGCCAAGUUUUUACCUUUCUUCUAAAGGCUAGGAGGAAGGGGGCUGAUUUAAUAUUGCUGGGGAGGGAAUUCCAUAGCCGAGGGGCCACCACUGAGAAGGCCCUGUCUCUCGUUCCCACCAGUCGUUCCUGUGAAGGAGGCAGGAUGGUUCCGAGAUGGUUCAUAGGGAGAGAUAUGUUCUGACAGGUAAGCUGGGCCGAAACCAUUUAGGGCUUUAUAGACUAAAGCCAGCACUUUGAAUUGCGCUCAGAUACAAACAAAGAUACAAAUUAAAAAUUUUGUAAGCAUAAGAAAUCUUGGUAGAAGAAAUCACAUAACACUGUUUGACACUAAGUAGCUCUGUCAAACUGCCUUUUAUACUGAAUGAAAAUGCUAUAAAGAAUAAUACAUCUCAUUUUAAGUAAAACUAUAUUUCUAGCCUUAGCUAUCUUGUGUCACAGAGAAGGAAAUGCAAAUCUAAUGUGCUGUCCCAGGCUUCUUGUGUUGUGUGGGAAUCCUCCAUUUUCCAUUCAGACAUAAUAUUUAUUCCUCAGAUUCUUUGUUUUUUGUACAUUACAUCAACACAUAUUAAAAAGGCACAGCACUGAAGCAUGCACUCCUAUUGUGUUAAAGUUGCUAGGAAACAGGUGGGCCAUAUUGAGGCCAAAAUAAAGAACAGGAGUCUGCAUUUCAGGAGAAA